rnacentral:rRNA from 1 species
CACGCCGUAAACGGUGGGUACUAGGUGUGGGUCCCUUCCACGGGGUCCGUGCCGUAGCUAACGCAUUAAGUACCCCGCCUGGGGAGUACGGCCGCAAGGCUAAAACUCAAAGGAAUUGACGGGGCCCCGCACAAGCGGCGGAGCAUGCGGAUUAAUUCGAUGCAACGCGAAGAACCUUACCUGGGUUUGACAUGUACUGGAAGCGUUCAGAGAUGGGCGUGCCUUUUUGGCUGGUACACAGGUGG